UUUGUGAAGAGUUUGAUCUUGGCUCAGAACGAACGCUGGCGGCGUGGAUUAGGCAUGCAAGUCGCACGAGGAUAUUUUCUUCGGAGAAUAAGCCGAGUGGCGAAAGGGUGAGUAAUGCAUAGAUGACAUGCCUUUAGGAUAAGGAUAGCUUUGUGAAAACGGAGAUAAUCCUUAAUAAUUACGAAGAGAAAUCAAUUUCCUUCGUCAAAGAGGGGUAGCAAUACCUCUUGCCUAAAGAGUGGUUUAUGUCCUAUCAGCUUGUUGGUGGGGUAAAAGCCUACCAAGGCUAAGACGGGUAGCCGGCCUUAGAGGGUGAUCGGCCACACUGGGACUGAGACACUGCCCAGACUCCUACGGGAGGCUGCAGUCGAGAAUCUUUCGCAAUGCCCGAAAGGGUGACGAAGCGACGCCGCGUGAGCGAAGAAGGCCUUAGGGUUGUAAAGCUCUGUCGAGGGUUAUGAAAUGUAAACAGGUUAAUACCCUGUUUAUUUGACAAAAGCCCAAGAGGAAGUCACGGCUAACUCUGUGCCAGCAGCCGCGGUAAUACAGAGGUGGCAAGCGUUGUUCGGUAUUAUUGGGCGUAAAGAGCACGUAGGUGGUUUUAUAAGUCAGGUGUGAAAGCCUUCUGUUCAAAGGAAGAACGGCAUCUGAAACUGUAGAUCUUGAGUAUAGGAGGGGAGAGUGGAACUUCUGGUGGAGCGGUGAAAUGCGUAGAUAUCAGAAGGAACGUCGGCGGCGAAAGCGACUCUCUGGCCUAUUACUGACACUGAGGUGCGAAAGUUAGGGGAGCAAACGGGAUUAGAUACCCCGGUAGUCCUAACCGUAAACGAUGGGCACUAAGUAGAGGGAAUUACCAAUGUUCUCUCUGCCGUAGCUAACGCAUUAAGUGCCCCGCCUGGGGAGUACGGCCGCAAGGCUAAAACUCAAAAGAAUUGACGGGGGCUCGCACAAGCGGUGGAGCAUGUGGCUUAAUUCGAUGCAACGCGAAAAACCUUACCGGGGUUUGACAUGGUAGAAGUAGGAGCCCGAAAGGGUAACCAACGGUAUCCAGUCCGUAACUAUCACAGGUGUUGCAUGGCUGUCGUCAGCUCGUGUCGUGAGACGUUGGGUUAAGUCCCCUAACGAGCGAAACCCUUGUUUUUAGUUACCAUCGGGUAAUGCCGAGUACUCUAAAAAGACUGCCGUCGUCAAGACGGAGGAAGGUGGGGAUGACGUCAAGUCAUCAUGGCCCUUAUACCCCGGGCUGCACACGUGCUACAAUGGUCGGUACAAAAGGAAGCAAGACCGAGAGGUGGAGCGAAUCCUAAAAAGCCGAUCUCAGUUCGGAUUGGAGGCUGAAAUUCGCCUCCAUGAAGUUGGAAUCGCUAGUAAUCGCGGAUCAUCAGCGCCGCGGUGAAUAUGUUCCCGAGCCUUGUACACACCGCCCGUCAAGCCACCCAAGUAAGAUGCGCCUGAAAACAUUUAUCUAACCACUUGUGGGGGAAAAUGUUGAAGGAGUGUUUUGUGAGGAGGACUAAGUCGUAACAAGGUAGUCGUAGGAGAACCUGCGGCUGGAUCACCUCCUUUCUA
rnacentral:rRNA from 4 species